UAUAUAAAGAAACUAUUAGGAAUAUCUUGCUAUGUAUUAAAGAGAGUUUUUUUUUAAUUUGUGUAUUUAAUUAAUAUUAAUUGUAGCACAUGUACUCUUAGAGAAAUUCAAUAAUAAACGAAGUGAAUUGAAAUAUCUUAGUAACUUCAGGAAAAGAAAUCAAACGAGAUUCUAUGAUUAGUGUGAAUGAAAGUAGAACAGCCUAUAAAAUAUCAGAAUAUAUAUAUUUAUAUAUUGUAAAAAAAAUUAUUAGCAUUACUAGGAUAAUGACAUGUUUGCUUCUUUAUUUUUUUUUUUACUCCAUAUUGGAGAUAAAAAAAAAAAGCUAGGGAAAACAAAGCUCUAACCACUGAUAUAUUAAAUAAGUAAAACGGGCAAUAACCUGUUUGAAUAUAAGGGGAACCUUCCUCUAAGGCUAAAUAUAAUACAUAAGCGAUAGCGUAAAGUACUGUGAAGGAAAGGUUGAAAUAGUAGUUUUAUAAGCAGCUCAAGUUUAAAUAAAUAGUAAGAGCGUACCUUUUGCAUAAUGGGUCAGCAAGUUAAUAUUAGAUGCGAGCAGUAAUGCCUAGAUAAACCAAUUAUGAAAUAAUGAAUUAGUAUCUAAAAUUAGACCCGAAGCCUAGUGAUCUUACCAUGGUCAGGGUUAUAAAAGCCCGAACGGUUUAUCGUUGUAAAGAUAUCCGAUGAACUGUGGUAAGUUAGUGAAAGACAAAACUGACUAGGAUAGCUGGUUUUCUGCGAAACCUAUAUAAGUAGGUAAUUCAAGUUACAUCAUAGCAGGUACAGAACUGUGAUCUCAGGCAACUUAUAAUUUCUUAUCUAGGUAUUGCCUAGAUAAGAAAUAAUUUUGCAUAUAUCGGGGAAUCGUGAGGAUUUUAUCGGUGAGUAUUCGCACUCGGAAGGGCAAUGAUGAAGAUUAAAAUGUAUUGAAUAAUCGGACAUAGUACGAUAAGGUUGUAUGUCUAAAGGGAAACAGCCCAGAACAAGAGUUAAGGUUCCAAAAUUAUUGUUAAGUGAAACUAAGGAAGUUUCUAUCUAAUACAACUAGGAAAUAGGCUUAGAAGCGGCUAUUUUUUGAAGACCUCGUAACAGAGCACUGGUUUAGUAAACAAAACUUUACAUUGAUAGUUGCACCGAAAAUUUAACGGAUCUAAACAAUAUACCGACACCUUGUCCAUAUUGUUAAAUAUGAUUUAAUAUUUAACUAUGGGGUAGCAGAACGUUGGGUAAAUCUUGGACAUAUUCUUUUUAAGAGUAUAUAAAUAAUUUAGGCAUGCUUAAAUUAUUAGGUAACCCAAGUGAGAAUGCUGACAUGAGUAACGAAAAAGGGUCCUUUACAUCCGUUCUUAGGAACGUUGCAAGUAAUAUGGGGGGGGUAUCUAACAAAAGAUACCAUAGCCCUCGCCUAAAGCUUAUGGAUUUAUUAAAGUAACGGCCUCUAAGUUUAUUAACCUAAAGGAUUAAACGAUGAGUAAACCUUACCUACAAAGUAACAACAUCUUCUUACCUUGUGAUAAUAUUUAUACUCUGUAAGAAAAGUGAAGAAGGUUCUGGAAAAACUUGUAACAAGUAAUGUUUAUUUUAUUAUUUUAAAUAUAUUAAAAUAUAUGAAGAAUGACGAAAUAAGGCUAAAUAAACCGUACCUAAAUACUACCACAAGUAAGCAAGUAGAGAAUACGAAGGCGUUUGAGUGAACAAUCAUUAAGGAACUCGGCAAACUAACUACCGUAACUUCGGGAUAAGGAGAGCCAUUCUUACUUAUUAGUAUAAGGUAAAGAAUAGGAAGCAUGGAAUAGUGUUGUACGACUGUUUAAUUAAAACAAAGCACUUUGCAAUAAGAUAAUAAAUCAAAGUAUUGAGUGUGAUUUCUGCCCAAUGUCGGCUGGUUAACGGAUUUUCUAGGUUGACUAAUAUAAGCUUGGAUUUGAAGGAAACCCCGAUCAAUGGCGGCCUUACCUAUGAGGGUCCUAAGGUAGCGGAAUACCCUGGCCGUUAAAUGCGGUCUUGCAUGAAUGAUUUAACGAUACAACAGCUGUCUCAAUGAUUGGCUCAGUGAAAUUGGAAUAACUGUGCAGAUACAGUUUACCUCUAGAUAGACGAGAAGACCCUAUGCAGCUUUACUGUUGCUAGUUAUUGAAUAUGAUUGAACCAAUAUUAGUGUAUAAGGUAGUUGGAGGCAAUUUUUUAAACCUCGUUCAGGCAAAAUUGAAACACCUUUAUUUUGUUUAUCAUAUUCGUAGGCUAUAGAGUCUACGUCAUAAUAUAAGGUGCGUAGCUGUUACGCUAUUAAGUAUUAUAAUUAACCCAUCAAAUGGGAACAAUGGCUAGGAGGCAGUUUAUGCGGGGCACAGAUCCCAUAAAAAGUACCUGGGUGUAUCCAAAGUUAAUUUUGUAAAAUUGUCAUGACGUACUUAUGACAAUUAAAUAUACAAAUUGUAUGUUUUUAUUUUUAGUUUGUUAUUGGUUUAGCUUAAGCUAUAACUAAUCCAACUAUAUAUCUAUUAAGUUAGAAUUAAUAUUUUAAUUUAAGUAAGAUUUUAACUAUAUGGAAAAUAGAUGUAAUUAAAACAUUAAUUUGAAAACACUUUUCUAAUGUUUUUAGUUAUAUAAUUAGUUUAAAUUACACUUUUUAUAUAAUUAUGUUUAUUACUUGUCAAGUUUAAUGGCUUAAUCUUGCUUUACUGUUUGACUUACACGUCUAUCAGUCGCGUAAGCGGGGCAUAUGAUCACAAGAUGCAGAAAGGAAAGGUCUUGGAUUUUUGAAAAAGCUACGCUAGGGAUGUUAGUCCUCCAAUGUUUUAUUUAUAAAAA
rfam:Botryotinia fuckeliana BcDW1 unplaced genomic scaffold Scaffold_87, whole genome shotgun sequence.